rnacentral:tRNA from 1 species
GUUGGUGUAGCUCAGUGGUAGAGUGCAUGCUUUGUAUGUAUGAUGUCCUGGGUUCAAUCCCCAGCUUCUCCU